rnacentral:rRNA from 1 species
UGCCAGCCGCCGCGGUAACACGGGGGGCGCAAGCGUUAUUCGGAAUUAUUGGGCGUAAAGGGCGCGUAGGCGGCGCGGUACGGUUCGGGUGAAAUCCCUCGGCUUAACCGAGGAACUGCCCGGGCUACGGCCGCGCUUGACAGCAUCAGGGGAAGGUGGAACUCCAGGUGGAGCGGUGAAAUGUGUAGAUAUCUGGAGGAACGCCGGUGGCGAAAGCGACCUUCUGGGGUGUUUGUGACGCUGAGGCGCGAAAGCUAGGGGAGCGAACGGGAUUAGAUA